rnacentral:rRNA from 1 species
GAUGAGUCCGCGUCCCAUUAGCUAGUUGGUAGGGUAAGAGCCUACCAAGGCAGUGAUGGGUAGCUGGUCUGAGAGGAUGAUCAGCCACACUGGGACUGAGACACGGCCCAGACUCCCACGGGAGGCAGCAGUGAGGAAUUUUGCGCAAUGGGGGGAACCCUGACGCAGCAACGCCGCGUGAGUGAAGAAGGCCUUUGGGUCGUAAAGCUCUGUCAAGUGGGAAGAAUGAGGUGGGGAUGAAUAAGUCCCAUCAGUGACGGUACCACUGAAGGAAGCACCGGCUAACUCCGUGCCAGCAGCCGCGGUAAUACGGAGGGUGCAAGCGUUAUUCGGAAUUAUUGGGCGUAAAGGGCGCGUAGGCGGUUUGUUAAGUCAGUUGUGAAAGAUCGGGGCUCAACCCCGGGUGUGCAAUUGAAACUGGCAGACUUGAGUAUGGUAGAGGAAAGCAGAAUUCCUGGUGUAGCGGUGAAAUGCGUAGAUAUCAGGAGGAAUACCGGUGGCGAAGGCGGCUUUCUGGACCAAAACUGACGCUGAUGCGCGAAGGCGUGGGUAGCAAACAGGAUUAGAUACCCUGGUAGUCCACGCAGUAAACGGUGAUCACUAGGUGUUGCGGGUAUUGACCCCUGCAGUGCCGUAGCUAACGCAUUAAGUGAUCCGCCUGGGG